AAAAUGACAUCAUUAGUUCCAAUACCACCCCGCGCCAUCUCCGUUCCAGUACAAAGGCUGUAUCUCGAGCCUUCCCACAUCCGUCUCCCUACCAAUUUAAUAUAAUUUAAGGUUUUCUCGUGUAGAUAAGCAUUCUAGCCAGUCUGAUUCAUUUGUACCAAGGAACAGAUAGUCAUUGUUCUAAACUCUUGACCACAUUCACACAUUAUAUUCGGUACUGGGAUCAGAUAAGAAAAUUCAUACAUAUACAGUAACAUUUAGUAUUCUGAUUAGUACAUCCUGAUUGAAAUGUAUACAUAAUCAGUCAUUAUAGAUAAAAAUUCCCUUAACACUUUGUGACUGUCUCCACUGCAAAGUGAAGUGGAUGUUGUAAAUAUGAAGAUGUACAUUCUUCAUGUUGUAAAUGUAGUUAUAGAUUUGUGUGGGUUACUAAACCGCAUUAUCUCUCCAGGUUGAAUGAUUGCAACCUAACUGAGAAAUCCUGUGAGGUGCUGGCUUUAACUCUCAGCUCAAACACCUCAAGUUUGAGAGAGCUAGACCUGGGAGGAAAUGAACUCCAGGAUUCAGGAGUGAGAUUCAUCUGUGCUGGACUUGAGAAUCCACAAUGUAAAUUGGAGACACUGAGGCUGUCAGGCUGCAGCAUCACAGAGGAAGGUUGUACUUCUCUGGCUUCAGCUCUGAGGUCAAACCCCUCCCACCUGAAGGAGCUGGACCUGAGUGGAAAUACUCCAGGAGUCUCUGGAGUAAAGCUGCUCUCUUCUGUACAAGAGGAUCCCCUCUAUACACUGGAGAGACUGCGGUUAAAUGAUUGACAGCUCACAGAUUCAGUGAAGGAAUGGCCUCAACUCAAAAUCCUUGGUUGUGGGAGUGUGCUGCAGUUAAAUGCUUCUGGGACAGUUACAAAAUUAAUUUCAAAGUGCUUCAAUAUAAAUAUUCAAUGCUUUGAAAUCGACAAUGAUAGCUCCUUGAAUCAGAGAACCCUGGCAAAGUGGUGCGAGGAAAAUAACCUCAACAAACACGUCACCGGGGGCCCACUGCCUGCCCUACAGGACAUCUACAGUACCCGGUGUCACAGGAAGGCCAAGAAGGUCAUCAAGGAUCUCAGCCACCCGAGCCACGGCCUGUUCACCUCGCUACCAUGUAGAAGGCAGAGACAGUACAGGUGCAUCAAAACCGGGACAGAGAAACAGGACAGCUUUUAUCUCCAGGCCAUCAGACUGUUAAAUAGGGGGAGGGGUGGGUGGUUGGAUAAAUGGGAUGAGAGGUUGAGGUCCACUUUUUAGUUUUCUUGUUUGAAUCCUGUACCAAUAUUUUUGAUAACUGUAACACCCCCUCCCCCCAACAAAAAAAUGGCAAAAUAAACUGGUCAUUCAGUUUGUUAUUACUUUUACUUCACCUCAUUACACUGUAGUAUAUGGACUGACUGUAGUAUAUGGACUGACUGUAGUAUAUGGACUGACUGUAGUAUAUGGACUGACUGUAGUAUAUGGACUGACUGUAGUAUAUGGACUGACUGUAGUAUAUGGACUGACUGUAGUAUAUGGACUGACUGUAGUAUAUAUGGACUGACUGUAGUAUAUGGACUGACUGUUACCCCUGGCUGGAAGGAUGACUUGUCAAUCUGUCAGUAAGUUGGCGUUAUAGGUAAUGUAAAUGUGGUUUGAUGUUGGUUGUUUCUGUUGCGUGUCAGUGGACUGUGUGUUCUGUUCGCUCAGUAAAAAGCCAGUUUAUAAUUACAUGUUAUAUCCAUCACAUAUUGACUAUAGUAGUAAGCUUCUUCAACUCAACAAACUUAUUGUCUUCUUAGUAACUCUGCUGUGCAUUUUACGAGACUGCUAGUGCAGCGGUUUAAGGUACUGCAUCUCAAUGCAAGAGCGGUUACUAAUGUCCCUGGUUCGAAUCCAGGCUGUAUCACAUAUGGGCCAUGAUUGGGAGUCCCAUAGGGCGGCGCGCAAUUGGCCCAGCGUCGUAUGGGUUUGGCCGGGGUAGGCCGUCAUUGUAAAUACAUUUGUUCUUUAUUGACUUGCCUAGUUAAAUAAACAAAUAUUUCAGUGUA